UAGGGAAUCUUCCGCAAUGGGCGAAAGCCUGACGGAGCAACGCCGCGUGAGUGAUGAAGGUCUUCGGAUCGUAAAACUCUGUUAUUAGGGAAGAACAAAUGUGUAAGUAACUAUGCACGUCUUGACGGUACCUAAUCAGAAAGCCACGGCUAACUACGUGCCAGCAGCCGCGGUAAUACGUAGGUGGCAAGCGUUAUCCGGAAUUAUUGGGCGUAAAGCGCGCGUAGGCGGUUUUUUAAGUCUGAUGUGAAAGCCCACGGCUCAACCAUGGAGGGUCAUUGGAAACUGGAAAACUUGAGUGCAGAAGAGGAAAGUGGAAUUCCAUGUGUAGCGGUGAAAUGCGCAGAGAUAUGGAGGAACACCAGUGGCGAAGGCGACUUUCUGGUCUGUAACUGACGCUGAUGUGCGAAAGCGUGGGGAUCAAACAGG
rnacentral:rRNA from 2 species